rnacentral:rRNA from 1 species
UUCGAGUGGCGGACGGGUGAGUAACGCGUGGGUAACCUGCCUUACACAGGGGGAUAACACCUGGAAACAGGUGCUAAUACCGCAUAAGCGCACAGGGCCGCAUGGCCCGGUGUGAAAAACUCCGGUGGUAUACGAUGGUUCCGCGUCUGAUUAGCUAGUUGGUGGGGUAAUGGCCUACCAAGGCAACGAUCAGUAGCCGGCCUGAGAGGGUGAACGGCCACAUUGGGACUGAGACACGGCCCAAACUCCUACGGAAGGCAGCAG